UACGGGGGGGGCAAGCGUUGUUCGGAAUUACUGGGCGUAAAGGGCUCGUAGGUGGCCAACUAAGUCAGACGUGAAAUCCCUCGGCUUAACCGGGGAACUGCGUCUGAUACUGGAUGGCUUGAGUUCGGGGAGAGGGGAUGCGGAAUUCCAGGUGUAGCGGUGAAAUGCGUAGAUAUCUGGAGGAACACCGGUGGCGAAGGCGGCAUCCUGGACCGACACUGACACUGAGGAGCGAAAGCCAGGGGAGCAAACGGGG
rnacentral:rRNA from 1 species